rnacentral:rRNA from 1 species
CCAGACUCCUACGGGAGGCAGCAGUGGGGAAUCUUCCGCAAUGGACGAAAGUCUGACGGAGCAACGCCGCGUGAGUGAUGACGGCCUUCGGGUUGUAAAGCUCUGUUAAUCGGGACGAAAGGCCUUCUUGCGAAUAGUUAGAAGGAUUGACGGUACCGGAAUAGAAAGCCACGGCUAACUACGUGCCAGCAGCCGCGGUAAUACGUAGGUGGCAAGCGUUGUCCGGAAUUAUUGGGCGUAAAGCGCGCGCAGGCGGAUUGGUCAGUCUGUCUUAAAAGUUCGGGGCUUAACCCCGUGAUGGGAUGGAAACUGCCAAUCUAGAGUAUCGGAGAGGAAAGUGGAAUUCCUAGUGUAGCGGUGAAAUGCGUAGAUAUUAGGAAGAACACCAGUGGCGAAGGCGACUUUCUGGACGAAAACUGACGCUGAGGCGCGAAAGCCAGGGGAGCGAACGGGAUUAGAUACCCCGGUAGUCCACGCCGUAAACGAUGGAUACUGGCUGUUGGAGGUAUCGACCCCUUCAGUAGCGAAGCUAACGCGUUAAGUAUCCCGCCUGUGGAGUACGGCCGCAAGGCUAAAAUAUAAAGGAAUUGACGGGGGCCCGCACAAGA